AACGAACGCUGGCGGCAGGCUUAACACAUGCAAGUCGAGCGCCCCGCCAGGGGAGCGGCAGACGGGUGAGUAACGCGUGGGAAUCUACACAUCUCUACGGAAUAACGCAUGGAAACGUGUGCUAAUACCGUAUACGUCCUUCGGGAGAAAGAUUUAUCGGAGAUGGAUGAGCCCGCGUUGGGUUAGCUAGUUGGUGGGUAAAGGCCUACCAAGGCGACGAUCCAUAGCUGGUCUGAGAGGAUGACCAGCCACACUGGGCAUGAGACACGGCCCAGACUCCUACGGGAGGCAGCAGUGGGGAAUAUUGGACAAGGGGGGCAAGCCUGAUCCAGCCAUGCCGCGUGAGGGAUGAAGGCCCUAGGGUUGUAAAGCUCUUUCACCGGUGAAGAUAAUGACGGUAACCGGAGAAGAAGCCCCGGCUAACUUCGUGCCAGCCGCCGCCGUAAUAC
rnacentral:rRNA from 1 species